GACGAACGCUGGCGGCGUGCCUAAUACAUGCAAGUAGAACGCUGAAGGAGGAGCUUGCUUCUCUGGAUGAGUUGCGAACGGGUGAGUAACGCGUAGGUAACCUGCCUGGUAGCGGGGGAUAACUAUUGGAAACGAUAGCUAAUACGCAUAAUAGUAGAUGUUGCAUGACAUUUGCUUAAAAGGUGCAAUUGCAUCACUACCAGAUGGACCUGCGUUGUAUUAGCUAGUUGGUGGGGUAACGGCUCACCAAGGCGACGAUACAUAGCCCCCUGAGAGGGUGAUCGGCCACACUGGGACUGAGACACGGCCCAGACUCCUACGGGAGGCAGCAGUAGGGAAUCUUCGGCAAUGGACGGAAGUCUGACCGAGCAACGCCGCGUGAGUGAAGAAGGUUUUCGGAUCGUAAAGCUC
rnacentral:rRNA from 1 species